rnacentral:rRNA from 1 species
UACGGAGGAUGCGAGCGUUAUCCGGAUUUAUUGGGUUUAAAGGGUGCGUAGGCGGUCCGUUAAGUCAGCGGUAAAAUUGCGGGGCUCAACCCCGUCGAGCCGUUGAUACUGUCAGACUUGAGUUGGCGAGAAGUACGCGGAAUGCGCGGUGUAGCGGUGAAAUGCAUAGAUAUCGCGCAGAACUCCGAUUGCGAAGGCAGCGUACCGGCGCCACACUGACGCUGAGGCACGAAAGCGUGGGGAUCGAACAGG